rnacentral:ncRNA from 1 species
AAGUGAGGUAGGGGCGCGAAAUUCAUGAGUCAUCUUUUAGAGGAAGCGAAUCUGAUGAAAAAAGAUAAAAGGGACUUUCGCCGAAGCCUAUUUCUUCGCAGGAAGUAGAGCUGGGUCUACAUUGAAUAAGUGUAGGACUGUCAUAGUUAAAUGAUCCCAAAUUUAACUAUGGAGAACUAUCUUGACU